AGUACGUUGUCGUAGACCCGAAACCGGGUGAUCUACCCAUGUCCAGGGUGAAGGUCGGGUAACACCGACUGGAGGCCCGAACCCACGCAUGUUGAAAAAUGCGGGGAUGAGGUGUGGGUAGGGGUGAAAUGCCAAUCGAACUCGGAAAUAGCUGGUUCUCCCCGAAAUAGCUUUAGGGCUAGCCUCGAGUGAUGAGUUUUGGAGGUAGAGCACUGAUUGGACGAGGGGUCCCCACAGGAUUACCGAAUUCAGUCAAACUCCGAAUGCCAAAAACUUUAACUCGGGAGUCAGACUGCGAGUGCUAAGAUCCGUAGUCAAGAGGGAAACAGCCCAGACCAUCAGCUAAGGUCCCCAAGUAUACGUUAAGUGGAAAAGGAUGUGGAGUUGCUUAGACAACCAGGAUGUUGGCUUAGAAGCAGCCAUCAUUGAAAGAGUGCGUAAUAGCUCACUGGUCGAGUGACUCUGCGCCGAAAAUGUACCGGGGCUAAACGUAUCACCGAAGCUAUGGCAAUCCCAGUAGGGAUUGGGUAGGGGAGCGUUCCAAGGACUGUGAAGCUAGAUCGUGAGGACUAGUGGAGUGCUUGGAAGUGAGAAUGCCGGUAUGAGUAGCGAAAAGAGGGGUGAGAAUCCCCUCCGUCGAAAGCCCAAGGUUUCCUGAGGAAGGCUCGUCCGCUCAGGGUUAGUCGGGACCUAAGCCGAGGCCGAAAGGCGUAGGCGAUGGACAACAGGUUGAUAUUCCUGUACCACCUCGUAUUUGUUUGAACGAUGGGGGGACGCAGAAAGGUAGGGUGAGCGCGCCGCUGGCUGUGCGCGUCGAAGCAUGCAAGGCUGGAACAUAGGCAAAUCCGUGUUCCGUGAAGGCUGAGCUGUGACCGUGAAGGACCCAAGGGUCCGAAAUCCCUGAUCCUCCGCUGCCGAGAAAAGCCUCUAGUUAGAAUACAGGUGCCCGUACCGCAAACCGACACAGGUAGGCGAGAAGAGAAUUCUAAGACGCUCGGGAGAACUCUCGUUAAGGAACUCGGCAAAAUGACCCCGUAACUUCGGGAGAAGGGGUGCUCUAUUAGGGUGUUAAAGCCCGAGAGAGCCGCAGUGAAUAGAUCCAAGCGACUGUUUAGCAAAAACACAGGUCUCUGCGAAGCCGUAAGGCGAAGUAUAGGGGCUGACACCUGCCCGGUGCUGGAAGGUUAAGAGGAGGGGUUAUCCCGUAAGGGAGAAGCUCUGAAUUGAAGCCCCAGUAAACGGCGGCCGUAACUAUAACGGUCCUAAGGUAGCGAAAUUCCUUGUCGGGUAAGUUCCGACCCGCACGAAUGGUGCAACGACUUGGAUACUGUCUCAACGAGAGACCCGGUGAAAUUAUAGUACCUGUGAAGAUGCAGGUUACCCGCGACAGGACGGAAAGACCCCAUGGAGCUUUACUGUAGCUUGAUAGUGAGUGUUGGUACCAUUUGUACAGGAUAGGUAGGAGCCUUGGAAGCCGGAGCGCUAGCUUCGGUGGAGGCGUCGGUGGGAUACUACCCUGAUGGUGCUGACAUUCUAACCUCGACCCGUGAUCCGGGUCAGGGACAUUGUCAGGUGGGCAGUUUGACUGGGGCGGUCGCCUCCUAAACAGUAACGGAGGCGCCCAAAGGUUCCCUCAGAAUGGUUGGAAAUCAUUCGUAGAGUGCAAAGGCAUAAGGGAGCUUGACUGCGAGACCUACAAGUCGAGCAGGGACGAAAGUCGGGCUUAGUGAUCCGGCGGUGCCGUAUGGAAGGGCCGUCGCUCAACGGAUAAAAGCUACCCUGGGGAUAACAGGCUUAUCUCCCCCAAGAGUCCACAUCGACGGGGAGGUUUGGCACCUCGAUGUCGGCUCGUCGCAUCCUGGGGCUGAAGUAGGUCCCAAGGGUUGGGCUGUUCGCCCAUUAAAGCGGCACGCGAGCUGGGUUCAGAACGUCGUGAGACAGUUCGGUCCCUAUCCGUCGCGGGCGUAGGAAAUUUGAGAGGAGCUGUCCUUAGUACGAGAGGACCGGGAUGGACAUACCGCUGGUGUACCAGUUGUUCCGCCAGGAGCAUCGCUGGGUAGCUACGUAUGGACGGGAUAAGUGCUGAAAGCAUCUAAGCAUGAAGCCCCCCUCAAGAUGAGAUUUCCCAUGGCGUAAGCCAGUAAGACCCCUUAGAGAUGAUGAGGUUGAUAGGUCAGAAGUGGAA
rnacentral:rRNA from 1 species